CAAUAAGCUAAAUAAGGGCGUAUGGAGGAUGCCUAGGCUUUCAGAGGCGAUGAAGGACGCGAUAAGCUGCGAUAAGCUACGGGGAGAAGCACAUAUUUUAUGAUCCGUAGAUUUCCGAAUGGGGCAACCCGUCAUGUUGAAGACAUGUCACACCUUCGGGUGAGCAAACCUGGUGAACUGAAACAUCUAAGUAACCAGAGGAAGAGAAAACAAAAGUGAUUCCGUUAGUAGUGGCGAGCGAACGCGGAUUAGCCCAAACCAAUGUUGUUACGGCAAUAUUGGGGUUGUAGGGCUGCGACAUUAGAAUCUAAGAGAACUGGAAUCGUUUGGAAAGACGAACCGAAGAGAGUGAUAGUCUCGUACAGGUAAUCGAAGAGGAUAUAGCAGUACCCUGAGUAGUGCGGGACACGUGUAAUCCUGUAUGAAUCCACCGGGACCAUCCGGUAAGGCUAAAUACUCCUGAAAGACCGAUAGUGAACUAGUACCGUGAGGGAAAGGUGAAAAGAACCCUAAGUAAGGGAGUGAAAGAGAACCUGAAACCGUACGCCUACAAGCGGUCGAAGCACAUUAACUGUGUGACGGCGUGCCUUUUGCAUAAUGAGCCUACGAGUUACUGUUACUAGCAAGGUUAAGAUUUUAAGGAUCGGAGCCGAAGCGAA
rnacentral:rRNA from 1 species